rnacentral:rRNA from 1 species
AACGAACGCUGGCGGCAGGCCUAACACAUGCAAGUCGAGCGAGGACUUCGGUCCUAGCGGCGGACGGGUGAGUAACGCGUGGGAACGUGCCCUUUGGUUCGGAAUAGCCCCGGGAAACUGGGAGUAAUACCGGAUGAGCUCUUCGGAGGAAAGAUUUAUCGCCAAAGGAUCGGCCCGCGUUGGAUUAGGUAGUUGGUGGGGUAAUGGCCUACCAAGCCGACGAUCCAUAGCUGGUUUGAGAGGAUGAUCAGCCACACUGGGACUGAGACACGGCCCAGACUCCUACGGGAGGCAGCAGUGGGGAAUCUUAGACAAUGGGGGAAACCCUGAUCUAGCCAUGCCGCGUGAUCGAUGAAGGCCUUAGGGUUGUAAAGAUCUUUCAGGUGGGAAGAUAAUGACUGUACCACCAGAAGAAGCCCCGGCUAACUCCGUGCCAGCCGCCGCCGUAAUAC